CGAGCUCGGACAGCAUUUCAUCAGAUAGACUAGAUUCCCCAACAGAUCGCCAGAGCUUUCUUUUUCCCAAGGACUCCGCGGAAUACACCUGAAAACUUGUUGAUUAUUUAUGUUCUAGCAUGCUUUUUGGGCAGCCACCCAGGACCUCGUAUCCACAGGAAAACUGACACAUCUAAUCAGCCUCCCAGAUACAGUUCUGUAAAGUCUUAUUCGUUUGGAUGCCAUCAGCUCAGAAGGUUUGGAUAAUUCAGACAGUCUGGAGGGACCGUGCCUCUCACACAGCCUACAAAAGACAGAGUUUCUUAACAAAUUGAUAAUGGAAAGCAGACCGCUGGGGCUGAGAAGUGAAUUGUCUUCAAGUUCUCUAGAACAGCGUCCCCGUACCAGCAAUCAAGGAUUAAUUGCAAAUUAUUUUUAUCAAGUAAUUAAAAUGAAUCCCAGGCAAGAAAUCCUACCUCGGGAAUCGUGCGGUGGCAAAAAAUAUGAGCUUUCAAUCCACCCAGGGCGUGGGCUCGGAUUGCAGCCACGCAACUCACGAGCUUAAGUUACUGUCCAUGAGCGACUUUCCUGCUCUGAGCCUUAAAUGCUGACAUAUGGAAAAGUUUGUCGGAUGGACGUUAGAAUUGGAACCCACAGAGGUAAAGAAAUCACUUCCAAAAUGAUGCUUCGGAGGAUUCUCCAUCCACAAGAUGUUAACACUUAUUGCAUGAAAAAGGGGGAUUCGUGGUUGACUAAAUUUGGGAUAAACCAAGCUGAACAAAAUGAAAUGUGUUCGCUUGCUUUUGGGGUGUGUUGAUUUGCAGGGCUUCUCAGAGCCUUUAGCGUUGUACUUCAUGUCAUGAAUCUUCACAAGGAGGGUGUAUUGAGUAGUUCUUCCCCAAAUUUAUUUUAUUUCACCAAUGAUCUCUCUCUCUCUCUCUCUCUCUCUCUCUCUCUCUCUCUCUCUCUCUCUUUAGAACACUCUGACUCCUUCCAGAACUUCCACAGAGGGUAAUUUGCGGAGUGACAUCCUAGAAUUUGUGGUUUGCGCCGUGUCUCAGCAGCAGGAUGGAGCCUACAUGGGGCUAUCUGCACUGUGUCCCUGAAUCCCACUAGAACCAAGGCCACAACCUGGGUGGAGAAGCCACACCGGAGAAACACCAGGAUUGCUCAUAGUCGGUGACUUCUUAGGAACCAUCCUGGGGAAAGUGGCUCCUGGGAACUUCCCAGAGGUACCUGGAACAGCCGACUUAUCUGCAGGCUGGACUCACAUCGAGGUCAAUGAAUCAGGUCCAAAGUUUCCAAAGAUUCAAAGGUGGGGUGAGCAGAGGGCAGCGUGGGAGGACAGCUGGGAGUCCAGGGACCGGCAGGUUGUCGUGGCGUUAAGACAAGUUGCAAAUCAUCACAGGAACGUGGGGGAAAGGUGAGUGUGGUCACAGCUCUGCUCCUGGGGACCCCUGGUCAACGUGGCCGUGGCUACCCGCAAUGGAGGGGCAUCUACAGGAAGUAGAGGUGACCGUGAAGGGUGGAUCCCAAAGUGGUCAAGGUCAGUCCCUAACCCUAAGAACAUAAUGAGCAGGACAGGCUCGGCCCUGGCAAACCUGCUAGAAGCCCAAGGCAGAGGAGCCCAUUGACAGCCGUUGGUGUUGUCCUCGCGGGUCAGAGGCAGAGGGCGGGGUGGGGAGGGAGGAGGAGGAUGUGAGGGAAGAGCAGAAGGAAUCUGGGAGGGAGGCAGGACUUUGGAAAGAGUGGUGAGGGCUGGGCACUAGGAGCAAGUGUCAUUGAGGGCACACUCAAAGGACAGAAAGGACACUUCAGGGACGGUGACCUCUGGAUCUGCAGAGAAAUUUUCAGAAAGGACAGAUGCUGCUGCCUGACGUUGCAGAGGGCUAACCAAAGGCACUCGUUUAAAUGCAUGUCACAGGCAGAAGAAAUGGACAACAGACAUAGAGGACAGGGACACAGAGGUGGGCGUUCACCAUGCAGCUUGGGGUGCCGGGCAGGGGACCCGCUGUGCACGGAGACCCACCUUCUCCUGCUCCCUCCCUCCCUCUCUUCCUCGUCCUUCUGUCACAACUUGACUGAGAAAUAACUUAGGUGUCCUAAUAUUUACCAGUCAAAAUCACACAACCCAGGGGUCCUAGCUGCUUAGAAUCGUGCAGCCGCCACUCGAGUCUAUUUCUAGAACCCUCGCCCCCAUUUACAGCUACCCCCAGCCCCAAGGCAACCACUAAUCUCUGUGUCUAUAAACGGGUCGUUUCCGGACGUGUAUGUAAACGGGACCAUACGAUGUGUGGCCUUCUGCAUGUGGCUCUCUUACUUUCUGCAGGGCUUUGGAGGGCCGUCUGGGCCGUGGCAUUUACCGGUGCUUCAUUGUGACUUAACACCCAGCAGCACUCCAUGGCCCGGGUACACUGUGCCUGGUUCACCUGCUCACCACCUGGGGGAUAUCUGGGGGUGGGGGGGUUCACUUAGUGGCUAUCACGAACCUGCACCUGUGAGUCUUAGGUGACUCUGUUCUCAUUGCUUUCGGUUAAAUACCUAGGGUAGGGUCCUUGGGCGCUGUUGUCCGUUUACGUCUAACAUUUCCAGAAGUGCCCAGCUGUUUCUGAGCAGCUGAACCAUCAACUCUUUAGAGUUUCUAAACCUAGGAGUCUUCUUCUUGAUCCACAGCUGAUAGGAUCGAGCAGGACCAUGUGACCCCUAUGGACCCGUAGGUUUUUUUCCCUUCUGAGAUCUUAGAACUGGGACCCACGAGGCAUACAUGUUUGAAUCCGCCGUGUGCCUGAUGGGGUGGCCUUGUGGCCCAGAAGGCAGAGAAAAGCAGACCAUAGAGAGGAGAGAGAAGCUGACCCAGAGACAAGGACAAGGUAGCCACUGGGACAAAGGUUCCAUGCUCCUGGCUCUGGACCCUUGUGAAAUCUAGCACGUGCCUGGUGUGGCUUGGCGUGUGACUUGGUCUUCAACAUUCCAGUGUCUUACAUUCCAUUUCUUCCUGUGAUUCAUGGUCGGUUUUGCCGGCAGUAACUAAGGCCGCCUUGUCUCGCUCAACACAUGUCCUCGGGAGCAACCUGUGGACAGAAGAAAGAAACAGCCUUCUCCCUGAAACUAUAGCAACUCGAGCAUUUAUAAAGCACCUACUGUGUGGGGGACACAGUAGGGUCCUCAAAAAAUUUAGCCGCUUGUAACCGAAGAGACGGAGAAGAACAUCAAGGAGAAUGUGUGCAAUUUUUUUUUGAAACAAAAUAGCUUUUUAAAUAUGUUCAAGUAGAUCAUGUUACAAUUUAAUUUUUUUAAAAAAUAAUAAUGUCAUGAAAAACUGCCAAGAUUAUAGAAUCAGGGCUCAUUAUGUGCUGAAAGGGCUUGAAAUAAAAGACAGCCCUUAAGUACUGAGAAUUCUAAUUAUAUGCCCCUUUAAAGAGCCACAGUCAUCUCUCCUGGUGACUAAUCUCGACUGUCUGUCAAGAACUGGCGACGGAGGAGUCACCCAAGUGCUGGACUGAUGGUCUCAUUCUGGGGUCUGGCUUGUGGCUUCCUCCCCUGGGUUCCCCCAGGAGCCUGUCUGUGUGACAAUCAAGAUGUCAUCAGAGAUUGCCUCUCUGGCUUUCCCCGAGUCUUGCCAGGAAGGGAAAGAGAACAAGAAAGGAAAAACUAGUCUGUAAAAGAAACACCCCGUGACAGGUCAGAGGGAAGGAAACCUGGGAGGCAUCCCUUCACUCAACGGCUACCUGUCCCUCGACCUUUGUUUCUCUAGCAAUAGAAGCUCAGCCCCAGGAGUGCUGGGACCCAGGUGGGCCUGGUCACUGUGGAAUUGUCACUCCCCGGACAGGACUGGCCAUGCUGUGGGGAUGGAGUUACUGCCUGUCGAACGCAUGAAUGGAGCAGAUUAGAGCAUCCCUGGUUCCAUGGGUUCGAAGCUGAGGUCCACGUGAGCUUUGCCAGGAGGCUCCACGUGAGAAAAACUUUCCAGGUCAUAAGCUACAGGACCUCUGACAGAACUGUGACCCAUCCACGGAAGCCUCGCACAUGAGAUGCAAGAUGCAAGCCCCCGUGGAGAAGCAUUCCAUUCACUUGCUGCUGUCAUAAAGGCAUUUGUUGAUCCCGUUUCUGUUAAAUGAGGAUCUGGUGUGGGCCAAGUUCAUGUUUAUAAGACCGAAACGACAAAGUGGGACUUCUUCUCCAGCUAGAGGGAUAGAUGUGCAAAAUGAUCUUGGUCUGGAGAGUUACUAGAUGGUAUCCCAGGGCUACCGAAUAGAAACCUGGAAGGCAAGCCAUGCUUGAAAUUUAAAAUUCCCCAGUAGUCACAUUUUAAAAAAGCAGAAAGAAACAGAUGAAAUUCAUCUGAAUAGCAUGUUUUAUUUGAGCUGUAUAUCCAAAGUGUGAUCAUGAAUAAGACAAUCAACCUGCAAAUCAUGAAUAAGACAAUUUGCACUGCCUCUUCAUCCUAAGCCUUUGACGGCUGAUGUCUAUUUUCCACUAACAACACAUCUCAUUUGGACACAAAGUUUUCAUUGAAAUUUUUUUUUUACUUUUAUUAUUUUUUUUUAAACUGGGGAUUGAACCCCGGAGUGCUUACCCACUGAGCCACGCCCCCAGCCUUUUUUAUUUUGUAUUUUGAGACAGGAUCUAAGUUGCUGAGGCUGGCCUCCUCAGCCUCCCGAAUUAUUGGGAUCACAGGCACGUGUCACCGUGCCUAGCUGGAAAUUCUUGAUCUAUCCUUAGAAUUUAUCAAAUUCAUAAUUUAAAAAAGAGUCAAUUCAAUCUAAAAGUCGUCCUAAACAUACUUUAAAAAUCUUUCAGUUGGGCUGGGGAUGUGGCUCAAGUGGUAGCGUGCUCGCCUGGCAUGCGUGCGGCCCGGGUUCAGUCCUCAGCACCACAUACAAACAAAGAUGUUGUGUUUGCCGAGAACUGAAAAAUAAAUAUUAAAAAAAAAAUUCUCUCUCUCUCUUAAAAAAAAAUCUUUCAGUAGCAGAAUCAUAUUUUUAAACUUGAAUUUGAAUGAAUCAAUAGUAAAUAAAAUGAACAGUUCAGUUUUUGAUUGAUCUGCCCCACACUUCAAGCUCUGUGUGGCCACUGGGCCCAGGGCUACCAUAUUGGACAGCAUAGAUAGGAGACAUCCCCUCCCUGCAGAAGUCUCUGUCACGCGGUGGUUCUCUGGGUUGUUUAGGAGACUGCACUUCCUCUCAGUGUUCUGUUGUAUCCACGAGCCCAGCAAAUAACACAGCGAGAUGUCAGUCAAUGAUGUGGAAGGAGCGAGGGAACAACAGCACUGUCACAGGACAGAGGUCGGAGAAAGGACACUUAUGGGAGGUUCUGACACGUGAGUAGGAGUUUUCUUGGCAAACAGCAAGGUGAAGACCAAGGAAGAGCCUGACACAUACGUGCCGGAUGAGACCAACGUGUUAUGAAGAGGAUGACUUGAUUCUCGUUGUCCACCUGGUUUGCAGAAUCCAGGUGAGAUCAAACUCUUCCUGCACCACCUCUUGGCUGCUGCUUCUCAGGAACAUCACUGAUUGCCCCUUCGCCUCUGUUUCCUCAUCUAUAAAAUAGGAGAAAUCAUUUCAAAGAAUUUUCUUGAGAACAAUGAAGAGGUGCAGAGCCUUAACAGGGCCGGGUGCAUAAUCAAGGUUCAAUAAAAGUUAAGUGUUGGCCAUUCGAGUGUCCAGCACUUAGUGAGAAGUGGAGAGAGGCUGGGUGUCAGGGUGCCAGGUGCCCUCCCCGACAUCUUUCAUCUUCCUCUCUCUUUGUGUGGGAGCCCCGACCUCCUCCCUGUGGCCUCCUGGCCACAGGGCUCGGCUCUUGUCAAUAUGGUUUGAGUGGAGGUGUUGGGGGGCCGCUUCUGGGUGCUUCCAUGGAGGGAAGGGGUCUCCAUCCUGCUUUGCUCCUUUCUGCUGCAGGAGGUGCCCCGAGACUGACAGGGCGGGAAGCUGGGCAGUGCCCGCGGCCGGCAUGAGUUGGACUGGGAGCAGCCUCAACGGCAGGCAGUGAGUGGCAUUCCUAGUGGGCUUCAAUAACAGAACCGGUUGGUGCAGGACUCUCUCUUGGGCCAGCACGUGGUGGAACAGACUUGGAGAACUGCCUUUGAGUCCAUCUGCAGGAACAGGGCGGAUGGACAGCUGCCAUUCAUCGGAGACCUUCCACACCCGGGCUGAGGGCUCUGACUCUUGGGGACACGGGAGGGGCGGUGCAUUUCCACCUUACAGCCUGCGUGGGCCUGGAGGCCGUCCAUUGGUGAGGUUGAGAGCACUGUUGGUGGCUCGCUGGCCCCUGGCCGAGACUCGGCCACCAUGUGGAAUGUGACUUCCCUGCCCGUCUGCAGCUACGGGUGGACUGCGGUCCUGCUGCUGAUUGUCAACUGACAUUAGAGGCUGAAGAAUGUGGCGCUGUCUGUCCCAUCUCUCGUGGCUUCUCAGAAACUGUUGUUUGUUGUGGCUAAAACUCGGAAUGAAGGGAUUUUUUCAGCCUGUGUUUUUGGAGCAGCUGUUUGGGGUUUGGGAGGACGCAUGCGCCUCUACCCCCUCGUGGACGGGAAGAGAGUCAACAAUAUGCUCCUCACCGUCCUGGCUUUGAAAGGUCAUUUUUUUUUUCAAAAGUUCUAUUAAAACUAGGUGCAUCCAGCCCAGUAACUUAGAAUUAUUCACAAGAGGAACCUAUCCCCAGUGCCUGUGGCAUCCUCCAUAAGAGGAAUCAAGUAGGCCUCAUCCUGGAGAUGCAUGCGAACCUUCCUCAUUAGUGUGGAGCCUAGAGCCCAAAAGGUCUGUCCCCAGGGCUUUCCUUGUGGUGGGUGCUGAGGAUGGAACCCAGGGCCCCUCACAGGCCAGGCAAGGGCUCCGCUCCUGAGCUGCACCCCCAGUCCUAUUUCUAAAAUUUUAAGACAGGGCCUCGCCAACUUGCCCAGCCAGUCUCCAAUCUACGUCUCUCCUGCCUCAGCCUCCCAUGCUGCUGGGAUCGCAGGCAUGUGCCACUGGACUUGGGUAGCUGUUUCUCUACGUUGGAGCAGAGGCCAGCCUGCUGACCAGGUGUGGCCUUCAGAUGAAAUGAACUAGAUCCAUCAGGCCCUGAACUUGCUGGACCAAAAGUGAACACAGAGACUACAAAACACAGAAGGUGAGGUUCUCAGUGGAUUGGAAUUAUUGUUGAUUAUAGUUAUUAUGAUUAUUUUCAAACAACCCUGACAGCUUGAAUAAAGCUGAGAACAGAUAGAUUCCACUGUCAACUUUCCUGUAAGCAGGAUGCUGUGUGCUGUACAGAAGUCAUCUCAAACAUCCCACCAGUUCUAGGAGGUGGAAUUUGUUGUUAAUGACAUUUCACAGAAAAGGAAACAAAGGACCAUAGAGGUUAAGCAAUUGCUCAGGGACACACAGCAGAGAUUAGUGUCAAACCAAAGACUGUCAGACUUGGAGCCAUGGACUUAACACAUUAAGCUGUGAUUAUGGCUUAAAUAGCUGCUUCGCAAGCAACUAGAGAGCAUGUUCGUUCCACUUGCAAUGGUAUUGUUUGAUUAAUUACUCCACAGGCAAGACGUUAAGGAAGAAAUGUUUUUUUCUUUUUUGCAGUGCUUUAAAGCACUGUGUCCUUGGACUUUGCUUCUCAUCCUUAAUUUGGGUGUCGACUCCAACAGCUUGUUGUCAGGAGAGUUCAGAGAGAUGGGAGAAGGAGCCUACUUCCCAGCUACUGGGAUUUGAAAUAGUUUUCUCUUCUGAGGGAGUCCCUUCAAUGAAAAAAAAUGCUCUUUCAAGAUGGAACCCUGCUGUUGAACUCAACGUUUGCAAGCCUCCUCAAAGGAGGUUGGUGGUCCCUAGUGAUUCGUGAUCAAUUCUGUUAACGUGAGCACGUCAAAACACACGCACACAAACACAACGACUGCCAGAUUCUGUGAGCUGAGAUGCCCCCCCUCCCACCCACAGGCACACGUGUGUACGGGGUCCAGAGAGGGUCUGUGGGCGUGGCUGGGCUGCUCUCCAGGGGCUCCUCUCAUGGAUGGAAGCCGUGCUGGGCUGGUCCACCCUCGUUCUAGAGGAAGGAUUGUGGCUUUCCAAGUCUUGGGAAAUAUUAGCCAAGAACUGUUUAUCUGUUUUGAUUUUUGCACUCUUUCCAAGUUGAGGACAUCUGUGAAGUGUUUUCUUGAUUACAAAAGUGGACCCUGUUUCGUUUUCUUGUGUUGUUUUGCUCCCUGUAGAAGAACCACCACGGGGAAUAAAGAAUGAUACAGAGGAAGAGGAAGCUCUCAGACAAGAUAUAAAAUGAGAAAUCAAUAAGAAGGAGCAAAGAGGUGGUGCAUCUAAAAUUCUGUGCUCUGUGUACCACCAAAGGCUGUGUGUGCAUUGUUGAGUGAAUAAGAGUUCAUGUGACACUGCAGAGAGAACACAGACCCAGGUCAUCCUGAGUUCUGCUAGGUCCCUGACUCUGAUCUUGCCCGCUGUGUGCCUCUCAGAUAAUUACUUAACUGUUCUGAGCCUCAGAAGCCUUCUCUGCAAAUGGAAAAGAGAGGUGGUAAGGAAUAGCUGUAAAUUACAUUGGUUGAAUGUUUUCCAUGUGCUUUUAAUUCAUUGAAUUCUCAUAACCAAUCUUUGAGCUCAUUAAUAUCAUCAAGUUUUCCAGAAAACCAAAGAUAAAAUCAUUUUCCCAGAGUUGCAUAGUAGGUGGCAGAACCAAGAAAACAGCCCCCCACCACCACUGUCUGGCUCUGGAGAAUGAGCUCCCAACCACGCAGCUAACACACAGUUACCGUGAGACUCAAAAGAUCCAAGAAAAUUGUUGUUUUCUACACUAAAACCCCAGGCAGCUGAACACAGACAGGUGGGCCUACAUCCAUCAACCACAGUUCCCAACAGCAUAGGAAGGAAUCAAUAAGAUGAAGAGUAAAGAAGAGGAGAAAAUAUUUGCAAACCAUAUAUCCAAUCAAAGGUAAAUGUUAAAAAUAUACAAGGAAAUUCUGCAACUGAAUAGCUUACUUCAAAGGUGGGCAAAGAACAUGAAUAGAUUUCUCCAGAGAAGUUCUAAAAGUGCCCAAGAGGGUCAUGAAAAGGGGUGUGACAUCACCAAUCAUCAAUGCACACUGAACCACAGUGAGGUAUCGCUUCUCACCCGUUAGGAUGGCGCUUAGCAAAAGAGGAAAGGAAAGAAAUCAAGUGUCCACAAGGAGGCCCAGGAAGAAGGACCCUGGGGCACUCUUGGUGGGAAUGUGGAUGAGUACAGCCUCCCUGGAAAACCGGGUGGAGCUUCCCAGAGAGUUAGGAAUAGAAGGGCCCCUCGAUCCAGCAGUGUUGCCUCUGGAUGUGCAUCCAACAGAUUCGCAAUCGAGAUCACAAGGAGACGUCUGCACAUCCACGUUCACCACAGCAUGAUUUACAAACAACAAGACACGAAACAGCCUUCGUGGACAUGAACAGAAGAGUGGGUAAAGAAAACAUGGUGGACACGUAUGUAUACAUAGCAAUAGGUUGGGUGACCUGAAACAAAGAAGGAGAUCCUGCCAUUUGUGAUGGCGUAGAUUGUUCUGGAAGACAUUAUGCCAGGCCAAGUCAACUGCCCUCAGGAGGCCCGAUACUCUAUGGUCCCACUCCCAAAUGGAAGCCACAAUGGCCAGGCUCAGGUUUCCAAGAUGGUGGCAGGGGGGAAAUGGGGAGAUUUGGGCCAAAGGUCUCAAAGCUUUAGUUAUGCAAGAAAAAUUAGUCCUGGAGCUCUAUGGUGCCUGCAGUUCACAAUUCUGCACCACUUACUUAAAAAUUUGCUGGGCUGGGGUUGUAAAAUAAAGGUAUCUACUAUAAAAUUUUUUUAAAGUUUGCUAAGAACAGGGACCUAAUAUAUUAAGUGCUAUUUUCACCAAAAAUGACAAUAAUAAUAAUAAUAAUAAUAAUAACAACAACAACAACAGGUGUGGGAAGAGACUUUGAGAGGUGUUAGACAUGUUUAUUGCAUGGAUUGAGGUGAUAGUUUCACGGGAGUAUCAUUUUCUCCAAACUCAUCAGGUUGUAGACAUUAAGUAUAUACAGCUUUGGGCAUGUCAAUCAUACCUCAAUCAUGUGGUUUUAAAAAAAUUCUACUUAUUUCAGUCCGAAAGAGAGGUGCCGCAUCCUAGGCAUGACAUGCUCAAUUAAAGUAGAUUGAUGGGUGUACCGAGGGGGUCAUCAAGCACACACACAGAGGCACACAUAAAAGAACUGCCCUCCUGGGAGCUCAGGAGGAAAAAAAGGAAGGUGAGCAGAAUGGAAUUUUCAGAAAAUUUAGAGAGCACAGCACUACAAUGAAACCAUUGAUAACCCACAUUGAAGGGUCCGGGACGGGGGGAUAUUUGAUGGAACGUGAGAGAUGUGAGAAAAGACUAAUAAGACCUCUAUUCUUCCUGCAACCCCAGCCACUGAGGCACCAGGAUGUGACUUUGGAACAUCAGUUUUCAGCAGGCCAACAGGUCAAGACUGUCAGGAAAUACCUGCGGGUCAACCUGAUAGGUACAUGGAGAACUUUCCACCAUCGAGAGCCUGAGACAAUGAACAACUCCAAAGCAUCCUUUGGACACUUGGAGCUGAGCUUUGGAAUCCACACCUCCUAUUCCACAUUCCCAAAAAGGUGCUUUCCCUUGCAGUCACAUAGAUGCUACGUCAUUGAUUGAAUCACUGCUAUUUUGAGGUCCCUAUCUAGGUGCUGUGGGAAACAGGAAAAUGGUGGCCAUCUAUAUGGAAAUUAGGAUGUGAGAAGGGGAAGUUUAGAAACUCUCUGGCUUCUAAAUGAAAUGAAAAUAAAUGGUGAGAAGGAGGUAAAUUGUGAACUAUAUGAAUGACAAAACAUCACCCACUAUGAAAAAAUAAAUAAAAAGCAUUUAACCCCAGUCCUGACCCAUCUGGAACCUUCAAUUAAAGGAAAUCCCUCUUAUUUCUUUUGGGAAAAAAAAAGAAUGGACAAGAAAGAGAAUGAAAGCUGGAUUCAGAAAUUUCGUCAAAAGGGGACAAAUUCAACUUCAUUUCCUGGUCAUUUCAGCUUCCUUGCUUUGAUCUACAUGAGCCAGAGUGUGAGUUCCAUGAGAUCAGGGACAUGAUUUUCUAUGUGCUGCAGCCUUCUCCACGUAGAGCAGAUUUUACAGCCCUCAGCAAGAGUGCAGUAAAUAUCCGCUGAAUAAAUGGUGACCUCAAGUUUCCUCUAAAUAUCUGAUCUUGAAAGCCACAUUUCAGUUGCAACAAUCACUGGCCAAGGCAAGAAAGAUUUGUAAAAAUGAGGUGUGGGAGACCAAAGGUGGGCACAAAUUCUUUGCUCCUCCUCUCGUUAAGAAAUGCAACCUAAUUCCUUUCCUGGGAAUCUGAACGGAUUUUAGUGUCUCGCUCGGCCAAUAUAAUAUGACAGAAGGGACAUUGCCAGGGUUCUGAGGCUAAGUGAUAAGAGACUGAUUGAGUGCCUCCUGGGCCUCUGGAACAUUCUUUCCGUGAGGCCUCAGUUGCUAGAGAAGACGCUCAAGUACACUGGGGUCUCUGCUGGGGGAAGCCAUCUGCAGGCAGCCCAGGGAAGCCAUCUGAGCCAGCCCUCAGCCGGCCAUCAUUGGAGAGGUAACUGAGACCACAGUGACUACCUGGGCCAGGAAGCAGAAAGGUGUCUCUAUAACAAGCCAGGCUGUGAUAGUUGAGGCUUCACGAGCCAUUCCGAUGAAUGAGCUCUGCGGUUCUAACUUGAACGCAGCUGCAGACUAUAUGGAAAUAAAUCAGCUCGGCUGUUUCAAUAAAAGUUUAUUUACAAAAACAGGUUCAGGUUGGCUGUGGCCCAGAGACCAUCAUUAUUUGCUGAUUUCUGUCCUAGAUCCACACAAGGGAACUUGAUGUCUCUCUGCUCAAGGGGCAUGAAGCAGAAGAAUCACCCAGCUGAGCCCAGCCCAGAUCCCUCACCUGCUCAAUCAUGAUUUAAAGUAAAAUUGUUGUUAUUUCCAGUUAGUAAGUUUGGGGCGGUUUGUUACACAGCAAUAGAAAACUGAGCAAAAGCUUCAGUAUCUCCCCCCCCCCGAAAAAAUAAGGGGAGGGGGAGAGGAGGCAGAGAGAAUUUUCAGCUCAUUUUCAGUAAGCCCCACCUUUGCUAUAUGUGAGUCCUGAGGAGAAGCAAAUGACGAUGUUGUCGCCCAAGGAUCCUCAAGGAAGGCUUUGUAAUUUGAGGUGUGAGCUUAGAGUCAAAGGAGGUGUUGACAACAGGAGCAGAGGGCUUUGCCGCGGUCGAAGGCACCAGGGCACGGUCACGUUGUGGUCAAGGGGAACGGUGUCCCCCGAGGCAGACAUCAUGAUGCCUCUGGUUAAGAAAGAGCAAGACGCAGUCUAUUAAAUAGGCUUUGGGGUCCCGUGGGCCCAGGUUCACAUCCUAGCUCUCUCCCUUACCAAUUACGUGAUCCCGAGUGAGCUCUGUCACCUCCCAGAAGCUCACAUUCCUCACUGGGAGAUAAUUCUUCACUCCCAGAGUGCUUAGCGGGAUCAAAUGACAGUAUUAGUAAGAUUUCUGGCACAUAAUAAGCCCCCGAUAAAGAGUGCAUUCAUACAUGUACCUGUCUAUGUGCAUGUGCUAGUGGACACGUGGACACGUGGACGUGUAAGCACACACACAUGCACACACGGACACACACACAGAUUACAAGGAGAGAAUCUGGGGGGCGGUGGUGUGUGUGUGGUUGUCUUCGAGGGCUUUCCAGUGUGUGACUUCGUAAAUAUCCAUUGUUUAUGUGGAGCCCUGACUCCAAAAUUGUGAGGCACUCUGAUACAUUAUCUCUUGUCAAAGUGUUUCAGAAUCAUUUGGGGAUCCCUUGAAAGGCCUGUUGGCCUCCCCCAGGAGACUCCGAUUCAGCAGGUCUGGGCUGGGAUCCAGGGGCUGGAGCUGUUAACAAGCACCCUGGGGUUGCUGAUCCAGAAACUCAUCUGCUCUCAUUUUUGAGAACCUUCCUUCCGUGAGCCUCGUGAGGAAUUAACUCAGAGAGGUAAGGUGACUUGUCCCAAGUCACUCGGCAGGACAGUGGCGGAGGUGGGUCUCUUGUCUCAUGUCUUGAAACACCACCACUUGCCCAUGACCCAGGUGGGAGGGCUCCUGCUCUUCUUUACUGUGUCCCAGUGCAACCACCCGUUGUGCAGGGGGCAGACGGAGGUUCAUGAGAGAAGACAUCGCCCUCAUUAGCACAGAGAACAAAGACCUGGGUUCCGGGCCCUGCGUGUUUGGCCUUCCCCCUUCCAGACUUUCCUCCACAUGGGAAAUAAACCUGCGUGCGUCCUGCUCAGCCUUCAGCCAGCACCGAGAGUGCUCAGAUCCUAGUUCCUGUGACCCUGUAAAUCUCAGCACCAUGUUGAUGGGGGGCGGAAGCAGAGUAGGCCAAGCCAUGGUGAAAUCCGUCCUUUGUUGGUCUGGCAAAGUCCCCCUCACCCGUCACUCUACUGUCCCAUGUUAUGGCCCUGGGAUCCGUCUAAACAAUCCCUUUCUAUAAUUAAAAAAAUUCUGUUGCUAAUGUCCCCAGGCCUGCUUAAAGGAGGAGCAGCUGCCGGUGGGAUAAUACAGUGCCGGACGCGCGGGAUGGCAGCCGCGGAUCGUGAGCUAUUCUGAGUUCCGUUUAUUUUAUUUGGACAACACUUCUUAGAGAAUUGGAGGCUGGGCUUCUCUGGACAACGUGCGGUCAGUUCCUAUUCCACGCAGGGCUGCUUCGUGGUCCAUGGGGACUUGCGGUUAUAGCUGUCACAUUUACUAGCUAGGGGGCGAAUGACAUGGUUUCUGACUACCUCAGUUUCCCCAAAUGUAAAAUUAGGAUGGUAACAACCGUAUCUGUCCCUCAGGAAGGGGAGAUUGGAAGGAAGAACCAGUUGAAGUGUUGAUCCUGAGUAGGUGCUCAACAAACACUUCCACGUGGUGUCACUUGCUGUGAGAGACCAGGGAGGCCUCAAGCCAUCAUCUCUGCCCGAUCUACGUCGGGAGUGACCACUUCACGACUCCACCCUCCUCCUGGCCCAAGCAGAGCUCAGAAAACAGCUAAAACCAGACAGAAAGAGAAGCAUCCUGUGCGUGAGGUGAGGUGGAAAUUAAAGCUAUUAUCAGACCACUGACGUCCACUGGACCAGGAUUUUUUUUUUUCCUUUGUGAAACAUGGGAAUGGCUUCAUAUCUCUGAUUGCAAUGAUUGAUUUGGGA
rnacentral:lncRNA from 1 species